rnacentral:tRNA from 1 species
AAUCUGUCGAUUUAAAAAAUCGUGAGGGUUCAAGUCCCU